rnacentral:rRNA from 1 species
AUGGCACCAACUCCAUCCCUGCCCCAGGCUAACACGACGCCGGUGCCGAACGCCGGGGCGACGGGGAAGCAGGCGGUGGCGCUGCGGGUGUCGGCGGACAACGCGGCGUUCGUUGGGUGCCGAUUCCUGGGCGCGCAGGACACGCUCUACGACCAGUCGGGGCGCCAUUACUACAAGGACUGCUACAUGUUGCUGCUAGCCUGCUACAUCAGGGUCCUUCGACUUCCUCUACGAGGUACGUGA